rnacentral:rRNA from 1 species
GNUUUUUUAUUGNAGCUGGNUGAAGGNUGGNNGAGAAAAAUACUGUCUCUAUUAGAUUUAUUAUUAAAAUUAACUUUUAAGUUAAAAGGCUUAAAUUUUACUUAAAGACGAGAAGACCCUAUAGAGUUUUAUAGCCUAGUUGUAGGGAGUUUUUGGUUAUUUUAUUUCUUUAUGAUGAAUGUUAUUUGGUUGGGGUGACUUAAAGAUUUAGAAAACUCUUUAAAUUUGAAGUUAUUGAUUUGUAAAUAAUUAAUCUAAUUUUUUUAAAUUUAAAAUAAAUUACCUUAGGGAUAACAGCGUAAUUUUUCUUUAGAGUUCUUAUUGAAAGGAAAGUUUGCGACCUCNAUNUUGAUUUAAAUUGCCGCGGU